rnacentral:tRNA from 1 species
GGCCCCAGUCGGCCGGGCGGGCGACGGUGCUGUCGGUGACGGCACUGGCGCCGAUCGCGGUGGCGCUGGGACUG